rnacentral:rRNA from 1 species
UCGAGAAUCUUUCACAAUGGGGGAAACCCUGAUGGAGCGACGCCGCGUGGAGGACGAAGGCCUUCGGGUCGUAAACUCCUGUCACCGGGGGCCAAUACCGGCGCGUCGAAAGGCGCGAUCGGGGCGAUGGUACCCGGAGAGGAAGAGACGGCUAACUCUGUGCCAGCAGCCGCGGUAAUACAGAGGUCUCAAGCGUUGUUCGGAUUUACUGGGCGUAACGGGUGCGGAGGCGGCCCGUGGUGUCAGCUGUGAAAGGCCGGGGCUC